UCCCUGAUAGCUCAGUUGGUAAAGAAUCUGCCUGCAACGCAGGAGACCCCAGUUCAAUACCUGGGUUGGGAA
rnacentral:tRNA from 1 species